rnacentral:rRNA from 1 species
AUACGGAGGGUGCAAGCGUUACUCGGAACCACUGGGCGUAAAGCGCGCGCAGGCGGCUAUUUAAGUUGGAUGUGAAAGCCUACGGCUCAACCGUAGAACUGCAUCCAAAACUAUUUAGCUAGAGUGUGGGAGAGGAAGAUGGAAUUAGUUGUGUAGGGGUAAAAUCCGUAGAGAUAACUAGGAAUACCAAAAGCGAAGGCAAUCUUCUGGAACACUACUGACGCUGAGGCGCGAAAGCGUGGGGAGCAAACGGGAUUAGAAACCCUAGUAGUCC